UGCAGUUAAAAAGCUCGUAGUCGGAUGUCGGGCUCGGGCAAGCUGUCGGCCUUUGGUCGGACGGCAGGCUCGGGUCUUUCUGCCUGAGGAACCCGGUUGCUUUAACGAGCUGCCGGUGGACGCAGGUCGUUUACUUUGAAAAAAUUAGAGUGUUCAAAGCAGGCUAGCGCUUGAAUACAUUAGCAUGGAAUAAUGGAAUAGGACUUUGGUGCUAUUUUGUUGGUUUAUGGGACCGAAGUAAUGAUUAACAGGGACAGUUGGGGCCGUUUAUAUUUCGUUGUCAGAGGUGAAAUUCUUGGAUUUACGAAAGAUAAACUUCUGCGAAAGCAUUCGGCAAGGAUGUUUUCAUUGAUCAAGAACGAAAGUUAGGGGAUCGAAGACGAUCAGAUACCGUCGUAGUCUUAACCAUAAACUAUGCCGACUAGGGAUCAGUGGAUGUCAAUUUGCGACUCCAUUGGCACCUUGUGAGAAAUCAAAGUUUUUGGGUUCCGGGGGGAGUAUGGUCGCAAGGCUGAAACUUAAAGGAAUUGACGGAAGGGCACCACCAGGAGUGGAGCCUGCGGCUUAAUUUGACUCAACACGGGGAAAUCUCACCAAGCCCCGGACACUGGGAAGGAUUGACAGAUUGAGAGCUCUUUCUCGAUUCGGUGGGUGGUGGUGCAUGGCCGUUCCUAGUUGGGUGGAGU
rnacentral:rRNA from 1 species